rfam:Cavia porcellus supercont2_21 genomic scaffold, whole genome shotgun sequence.
GGAUGUGACUGCAUCUGGCUGAGACAUCUAUCACCCGUUGAUCAACCGGGUUGAUUUGGCUGCUCUGGCUGGCUAGGCUGGCGUCCUCUCCCACUGCCUCUCGGUGACCAAACCUCCCGAAGCUGCGCGCUCGGAGGAAGGAGACGCCACCCUGUGAAGGAGGAAUGUUCCCUCUCCCUAGAUCAAGAGUGCUUGAGUAACUGCUUUCCCUCCUCUAAACACGCCCUCGGGGUCCCUGACAGCUAAGUAGGAACAGGAGCCAGAGCCACACACAUCAGGGAGCCCGGGAAAUGAAUUACAGGGGACUGACUUCUUCGCUGGGUGUCUUUCUGU